GGCUCAGGAUGAACGCUGGCGGCGUGCUUAACACAUGCAAGUCGAACGGGGUUUAGGAGCUUGCUCCUAGACCUAGUGGCGAACGGGUGAGUAACGCGUGAGCAACCUGCCCAUAUCAGGGGAAUAACACAGUGAAAACUGUGCUAAUACCGCAUAAGACCACAGAGAGGCAUCUCUCAGGGGUAAAAGAUUUAUCGGAUAUGGAUGGGCUCGCGUCCUAUAGGUAGUUGGUGAGGUAACGGCUCACCAAGCCCGCGAUAGGUAGCCGACCUUAGAGGGUGAUCGGCCACAUUGGAACUGAGAAACGGUCCAGACUCCUACGGGAGGCAGCAGUGGGGAAUAUUGGGCAAUGGAGGCAACUCUGACCCAGCAACGCCGCGUGAAUGAUGAAGGUCUUCGGAUUGUAAAGUUCUGUGAUGGGGGAUGAACACAAUGACGGUACCCCAAUAGCAAGCCACGGCUAACUACGUGCCAGCAGCCGCGGUAAUACGUAGGUGGCAAGCGUUAUCCGGAAUGACUGGGCGUAAAGG
rnacentral:rRNA from 1 species